rnacentral:rRNA from 4 species
UUAAAUUGAAGAGUUUGAUCAUGGCUCAGAUUGAACGCUGGCGGCAGGCCUAACACAU